UACAGAGGUCCCAAGCGUUGUUCGGAUUUACUGGGCGUAAAGGGUGCGUAGGCGGCCCGGUAAGUCCGCUGUGAAAGUCCAGGGCUCAACCCUGGGAUGCCGGUGGAUACUGUCGGGCUCGAGUCCGGAAGAGGAGUGUGGAAUUCCUGGUGUAGCGGUGAAAUGCGCAGAUAUCAGGAGGAACACCAAUGGCGAAGGCAGCACUCUGGGACGUGACUGACGCUGAGACGCGAAAGCGUGGGGAGCAAACAGG
rnacentral:rRNA from 1 species